CAGCCGCCGCGGUAACACGUAGGUGGCAAGCGUUGUCCGGAAUUAUUGGGCGUAAAGCGCGCGCAGGUGGUUUAAUAAGUCUGAUGUGAAAGCCCACGGCUCAACCGUGGAGGGUCAUUGGAAACUGUUAAACUUGAGUGCAGGAGAGAAAAGUGGAAUUCCUAGUGUAGCGGUGAAAUGCGUAGAGAUUAGGAGGAACACCAGUGGCGAAGGCGGCUUUUUGGUCUGUAACUGACACUGAGGCGCGAAAGCGUGGGGAGCAAACAGGAUUAGAUACCCCCGUAGUCCCUGUCUCUUAUAC
rnacentral:rRNA from 1 species